rnacentral:rRNA from 1 species
UACGGAGGAUGCGAGCGUUAUCCGGAUUUAUUGGGUUUAAAGGGUGCGUAGGCGGAAUGGUAAGUCAGUGGUGAAAUCCUGCAGCUCAACUGUAGUUGUGCCAUUGAUACUGUCAUUCUU